CCUCGCCUCCCGAUCCCAGCCGCCAUGAGGCGAUCCCGGCGACGCUCGAUCCGGUGCUGCGAGCUAGGUUCGAGCAGCCACCUCUCCGGCCUCCCCGCCGGCGGCGCGCCGACGCGCCGGUCACGCCUCUUCUCCUCCCCUUCCCUCCUCUGCUCUUGCCCCCUUCUCCUCCACCCAAUUUUUUUCAGUCCGUCUCAAUUCGCUCGAUCCACCCCUCCUGAGCGGCGGACAGUGGAGAUGAUGAACAGGCCGCGGACGCCAGUCGAAGGCCUUGAGAAGGACUGCGCGGUUGGACUCGAGAGCAGCUGCACUAGAGGACACCAUGGUCUUGGCAUUGCUGCCCCGCACGAGAAGAGGAGGGUUCCCUCCGCCGCCGCCGAGCCCGCAUCCGUGCUCUCCGCGGUGCCCGUCCUCGCUCCGCCGUUGCCAAAUCGUACGAGAUCGGCAGGAUCCGCUGCAUCUUGCGCGCCGCCGCCGGUGCUUCACCUGUUGCCGGCCUCCUUCCAGUUCCCUUCGUCGCCGAGGACGAGCACGCCAAGUUCCCAUGCCUUUUCCAGCGGUCAUUAUGACGAGUUGUUCCCCAACUGAAGGAACAGAUCAAGGCCAUGGGAUCCAGCCGGUGAGAGUCCCUUGACCGCAUCACCUUGCUGAACACAUGGUGGGGGGCGGCAUGGACGAGCUGCUCGUCGGCAUCCAUCCCCUGCACCCAGCCCCCGCCAACCAUGGCCGCCCAUCACCCUCGACGGCGCGCGCCUCCAGCAUCCCGAGAAUCAGCGCCCACCUCCCUGGGAGAGCUCCUCCUAUCUCCAGAGGAGGCGCAUGAGCCGAGCCCAGCCAUCACGCGCCCGUGGCCAACAACAACCUCCAGGUCGCAUCAGCGUUCGGUGGCAUGGGCAUGCUCUCGACUGAUUGAUUUUUGUAUGGAAGAUUUUUCUGAGUGGGGGUCGGGCAACGCCCAUGGGUGCUGUGUAGGAGUACAUGUUCAAGACAAUCAACAGCUUCUUUGAUGACUUCCUCACCUAAUGGAGAGAUACAAUUUUGGGACAGUGAAUAGAUGUCUAAUAGGGGCACCGCCGCAUGAGGAAUGACACUUUCUGGCUAGCAGUGGCGACGACCACCACUGGACACGAGGGAUCAACAUGCUGACUGAACGAGCUCGUCCUCGGAGUUAACUUCCACUACUUUCACUGAUUUGGACUCACUUCUCUUCAGUCCAAAUAUUUGGACUCUCAGUUAACUUCCUGCUUUUCAAAAGUUAAUUUAGUCCCACCAUUUGAAAUUCUUCAGCAACAGUUAGUCGUCGGCCAUGAGGCGGUUAGAGAACAUGGUGACUGUAGCAUAAGCUACACAGCCGGUUUUUGCUCCGAUCACCUGCCUUGCUACUUGUGCGUGAUUAUGAUCUGAUUUGUAUGCAACUCUGACAUGUGAAAAUAAUGAAGCUGCCAGCUGGUUCUUUGCAUGUUCCAGAGUGUGUUCGUUUAAUUUUGAUAGAAAUUUGGUUCUCAGUUCUUGGAUGCAUAGCUCAUCUACUGUAGCAGUUAUCUUUUGUUAACUGCAACAGUUAACUUCAUUGUUACUGUAGUGGGUUCCUAUUAUAAAUUGAGAAAAAAAUAACUGAUGCAGUUAGCUGUGAGAUGCAGUUCUCUUUGGAAAUUGUUGGUCGCGUUAGCUUUAGGAAAAACCAGAAAGUUUAAUUUGCAUUUUACAAAACAAUUCAUCUUUUAUGGUCCAGUUAGCUUUAGAAAAAACUAAGGGACGUUCUGCAGUUUGUUUUUCUUUUGAUGAGAAAAUGUAGUAGUUAGAUGAGCACUCCCGCCAUGGUUGUAGGAGGAGAGAAAUGUAGUAGUUAGGAGUUUAUUUGUCUUUGUUGCUUCGGGCCACAAGAGAAUAACUGUGAAAAAUUGUUGUAGCAGUUAACAUGUAAAAAUGUCACAGUUAAUGUGUGAGAGAAAAAAGUUACUGUGUUACAGAAAAAGGAAAAUAUUUGUUGUACCAAAAGUUAACUAUUCAAUUUACCAGCAGUUUUUUUUUUGCAGGGGUAAUUUAGCAGCAAAAUUAGCAUCGUUUUCCUUCAGUCCACUUUUCGUGUGCGUUCAGUCAUGUAUUGCCGUCUCUAUUUGGCAUGAUUUGCAGCGAGUUUCUUUGGUGUCUAUUUUUAUUCCAGUGCCUUGUUCUUUCUGGCAAGACAGUGUUUGUGUUAAUGCCUAUGGUAGAUUAGCAUGUAUUAUGAUUAAGAACUACAAUUGAUCAGCAUAUUGAGUAAGCAAGAUGGUCGGCAAUCAAACUGAGUGCUAGCAUUAAGCUUGAAUCCUGGUCGUUCCUUCUCCCCUUCUCUGUUUUGCUAUAGUCUGAACAUUCUGAAUUUUGAAUACUUGCAGGUACCUUCUGAACUGAACUUUGAACACUUGCAUGUAGAUUCUGAACUGAAGUUUGAAGGCAUGCAGGCAAAUUUAUUUCAAGCAUCGGGUUUUCUUGGGACCCGACACCGAUGAGGUCGGAGACGAUGGUUCAUGGCGGAGGCCGUCGACAACGGCCAGGACACAAG